rnacentral:rRNA from 1 species
UGGGGAAUUUUGGACAAUGGGCGCAAGCCUGAUCCAGCCAUGCCGCGUGCGGGAAGAAGGCCUUCGGGUUGUAAACCGCUUUUGUCAGGGAAGAAAUCUUCUGAGUUAAUACCUCGGGAGGAUGACGGUACCUGAAGAAUAAGCACCGGCUAACUACGUGCCAGCAGCCGCGGUAAUACGUAGGGUGCAAGCGUUAAUCGGAAUUACUGGGCGUAAAGCGUGCGCAGGCGGUUUUGUAAGACAGAGGUGAAAUCCCCGGGCUCAACCUGGGAACUGCCUUUGUGACUGCAAGGCUUGAGUGCGGCAGAGGGGGAUGGAAUUCCGCGUGUAGCAGUGAAAUGCGUAGAUAUGCGGAGGAACACCGAUGGCGAAGGCAAUCCCCUGGGCCUGCACUGACGCUCAUGCACGAAAGCGUGGGGAGCAAACAGGAUUAGAUAGCCCCUGGUAGUCCACGCCCUAAACGAUGUCAACUGGUUGUUGGGAAGGUUCCUUCUCAGUAACGUAGCUAACGCGUGAAGUUGACCGCCUGGGGAGUACGGCCGCAAGGUUGAAACUCAAAGGAAUUGACGGGGUCA